AAAUUGAAGAGUUUGAUCAUGGCUCAGAUUGAACGCUGGCGGCAGGCCUAACACAUGCAAGUCGAACGGUAACAGGAAUCAGCUUGCUGAUUUGCUGACGAGUGGCGGACGGGUGAGUAAUGUCUGGGAAACUGCCUGAUGGAGGGGGAUAACUACUGGAAACGGUAGCUAAUACCGCAUAACGUCGCAAGACCAAAGAGGGGGACCUUCGGGCCUCUUGCCAUCGGAUGUGCCCAGAUGGGAUUAGCUAGUAGGUGGGGUAACGGCUCACCUAGGCGACGAUCCCUAGCUGGUCUGAGAGGAUGACCAGCCACACUGGAACUGAGACACGGUCCAGACUCCUACGGGAGGCAGCAGUGGGGAAUAUUGCACAAUGGGCGCAAGCCUGAUGCAGCCAUGCCGCGUGUAUGAAGAAGGCCUUCGGGUUGUAAAGUACUUUCAGCGGGGAGGAAGGGAGUAAAGUUAAUACCUUUGCUCAUUGACGUUACCCGCAGAAGAAGCACCGGCUAACUCCGUGCCAGCAGCCGCGGUAAUACGGAGGGUGCAAGCGUUAAUCGGAAUUACUGGGCGUAAAGCGCACGCAGGCGGUUUGUUAAGUCAGAUGUGAAAUCCCCGGGCUCAACCUGGGAACUGCAUCUGAUACUGGCAAGCUUGAGUCUCGUAGAGGGGGGUAGAAUUCCAGGUGUAGCGGUGAAAUGCGUAGAGAUCUGGAGGAAUACCGGUGGCGAAGGCGGCCCCCUGGACGAAGACUGACGCUCAGGUGCGAAAGCGUGGGGAGCAAACAGGAUUAGAUACCCUGGUAGUCCACGCCGUAAACGAUGUCGACUUGGAGGUUGUGCCCUUGAGGCGUGGCUUCCGGAGCUAACGCGUUAAGUCGACCGCCUGGGGAGUACGGCCGCAAGGUUAAAACUCAAAUGAAUUGACGGGGGCCCGCACAAGCGGUGGAGCAUGUGGUUUAAUUCGAUGCAACGCGAAGAACCUUACCUGGUCUUGACAUCCACAGAACUUUCCAGAGAUGGAUUGGUGCCUUCGGGAACUGUGAGACAGGUGCUGCAUGGCUGUCGUCAGCUCGUGUUGUGAAAUGUUGGGUUAAGUCCCGCAACGAGCGCAACCCUUAUCCUUUGUUGCCAGCGGUCCGGCCGGGAACUCAAAGGAGACUGCCAGUGAUAAACUGGAGGAAGGUGGGGAUGA
rnacentral:rRNA from 1 species